CUACGGAGGAUGCAAGCGUUAUCCGGAUUUAUUGGGUUUAAAGGGUGCGUAGGCGGAUGAUUAAGCGUGAGGUGAAAUGCCACUGCUCAACAGUGGAACUGCCUCGCGAACUGGUUGUCUUGAAUGCUCCUGCCGUGGGAGGAAUGUGUAGUGUAGCGGUGAAAUGCUUAGAGAUUACACAGAACACCGAUUGCGAAGGCAUCUCACGAAGGGUUGAUUGACGCUGAGGCACGAAAGCGUGGGGAUCAAACAGGAUUAGAUACCCUGGUAGUCCACGCAGUAAACGAUGAUGGCUAACCGCUGGGCUUAUCAGUUCAGUGGCCAAGCGAAAGCGAUAAGCCAUCCACCUGGGGAGUACGACCGCAAGGUUGAAACUCAAAUGAAUUGACGGGG
rnacentral:rRNA from 1 species